GACGAACGCUGGCGGCGUGCUUAACACAUGCAAGUCGAACGGAAAGGCCCUGCUUUUGUGGGGUGCUCGAGUGGCGAACGGGCGAGUAACACGUGAGUAACCUGCCCUUGACUUUGGGAUAACUUCAGGAAACUGGGGCUAAUACCGGAUAGGAGCUCCUGCUGCAUGGUGGGGGUUGGAAAGUUUCGGCGGUUGGGGAUGGACUCGCGGCUUAUCAGCUUGUUGGUGGGGUAGUGGCUUACCAAGGCUUUGACGGGUAGCCGGCCUGAGAGGGUGACCGGCCACAUUGGGAUUGAGAUACGGCCCAGUCUCCUACGCGAGGCAGCAGUGGGGAAUAUUGCACAAUGGGCGGAAGCCUGAUGCAGCAACGCCGCGUGCGGGAUGACGGCCUUCGGGUUGUAAACCGCUUUCGCCUGUGACGAAGCGUGAGUGACGGUAAUGGGUAAAGAAGCACCGGCUAACUACGUG
rnacentral:rRNA from 1 species